GUCAGGAUGGCCGAGUAUCUAAGGCGCCAGACUCAAGCUCUGGUGGCGUGGGUUCAAAUCCCACUCUUGACA